rnacentral:lncRNA from 1 species
AAAAAAGUUCCUGAGAACUCUUCUUAGUCUAGCAUGAAAGGAAGAAACCCCGUUUGCAACGAAGCCCUCAAAGAGGUCCAAAUAUCCACUUGCAGACAUAACAAGCAGAGUGUUUCUAAACUGCUCUAAGAAAAGAAAGGUUAAACUCUGUGAGUUGAAGGCACACAUCACAAAGUAGUUUCUGAGAAUGAUUCUGUCUAGUUUUUAUUUGAAGAUAUUUCCUUUUCUACUGUUGGCAUCAAAUCGCUUGAAAUCUCCACUUGCAAAUUCCACAAAAAGAGUGUUUCAAAUCUGCUCUGUGUAAAGGGACGUUCCACUCUGUGAGUUGAAUACACACAGCACAAAGAAGUUACUGAGAAUUCUUCUGUCUAGCAUGAAAUGAAGAAAUCCCGUUUCCAACGAAGGCCUCAAUGCGGUCCAUAUAUCCACUUGCAGACUUUACAAACAGAGUGUUUCCAAACUGCUCUAUGAAAAGAAAGGUUAAACUAUGUGAGUUGAACGCACACAUCACAAAGAAUUUUCUGAGAAUGAUUCUGUCUGGUUUUUAUUUGAAGAUAUUUCCCUUUCUACUGUUGGCAUCAAAUGGCUAGAAAUCUCCACUUGCAAAUUCCGCAAAAACAGUGUUUCAAAUCUGCUCUGUCUAAAGGGACGUUCCACUCUGUGAGUUGAAUGCACACAACACAAAGAAUUUACUGAGAAUUCUUCCGUCUAGCAUUAUAUGAUAAAAUCCCGUUUCCAACGAAGGCCUCAAACAGGUCCAUAUAUCCACUUGCAGACUUUACAAACAGUGUGUUUCCAAACUCCUCUAUGAAAAGAAAGGUUAAA